rnacentral:rRNA from 1 species
UACGUAGGGAGCAAGCGUUGUCCGGAAUCAUUGGGCGUAAAGCGCGCGUAGGUGGCCCCGUAAGUCCGCUGUGAAAGUCAAAGGCUCAACCUUUGAAAGCCGGUGGAUACUGUGGGACUAGAGUACGGAAGAGGCGAGUGGAAUUCCUGGUGUAGCGGUGGAAUGCGCAGAUAUCAGGAGGAACACCAGUGGCGAAGGCGACUUCCUGGCCUGUUCUUGACGCUGAGGCGCGAAAGCUAGGGGAGCAAACGGG